rnacentral:snoRNA from 1 species
AUGCCGUGGUGGGGACACGCUGCAAUGUACUCUUGAAGGCGUUCCCAUGCUUCCAGUAUGGAUUCAUCGUUCUGCUGCUGGAAGCUUGAAAUCUUGUUCCGAAGGGC